rnacentral:rRNA from 1 species
AAACCUUACCCACCUUUGACAUGUACGGAAUCCUUUAGAGAUAGAGGAGUGCUCGAAAGAGAGCCGUAACACAGGUGCUGCAUGGCUGUCGUCAGCUCGUGUCGUGAGAUGUUGGGUUAAGUCCCGCAACGAGCGCAACCCUUGUCAUUAGUUGCUACAUUCAGUUGGGCACUCUAAUGAGACUGCCGGUGACAAACCGGAGGAAGGUGGGGAUGACGUCAAGUCCUCAUGGCCCUUAUAGGUGGGGCUACACACGUCAUACAAUGGCUGGUACAGAGGGUUGCCAACCCGCGAGGGGGAGCCAAUCCCAUAAAGCCAGUCGUAGUCCGGAUCGCAGUCUGCAACU